CAGUGGUAAAUUGAAGGAAGUAAUAUUAGGACUCCCCAGUAAGAAGAUGGCUUACAAGGCCUUCUUUAGAGCAAGCAUGGUGGCCAGUGGUGCCCUCAGGCUCCAUAACAAAACAAAUGGACAUCCUCAUAGAUGACACCGUGAAGCUACUUGAAGCCAUGCGAAGGGAGAGAAAAGCUUUGGAAUCCCUAGAGGAGAACCUGGACUGCAUCACCAUGGAACAAAUGCUUGAUUUUGAAUUGGGGGCUGCUGCACCUGUCACCACCACUCUCCCUGCAGCGGCUACUGCUGCUUCCAG